AUUGAACGCUGGCGGCAGGCUUAACACAUGCAAGUUGAGCGGGGUGAUGGUGCUUGCACUAUCACUUAGCGGCGGACGGGUGAGUAAUGCUUAGGAAUCUGCCUAUUAGUGGGGGACAACAUCUCGAAAGGGAUGCUAAUACCGCAUACGUCCUACGGGAGAAAGCAGGGGAUCACUUGUGACCUUGCGCUAAUAGAUGAGCCUAAGUCGGAUUAGCUAGUUGGUGGGGUAAAGGCCUACCAAGGCGACGAUCUGUAGCAGGUCUGAGAGGAUGAUCCGCCACACUGGGACGGAGACACGGCCCAGACUCCUGCGGGAGGCAGCAGUGGGGAAUAUUGGACAAUGGGGGGAACCCUGAUCCAGCCAUGCCGCGUGUGUGAAGAAGGCCUUAUGGUUGUAAAGCACUUUAAGCGAGGAGGAGGCUCUUUUGGUUAAUACCCAAGAUGAGUGGACGUUACUCGCAGAAUAAGCACCGGCUAACUCUGUGCCAGCCGCCGCCGUAA
rnacentral:rRNA from 1 species